GACGAACGCUGGCGGCGUGCUUAACACAUGCAAGUCGAACGAAGAGCGAUGGAAGCUUGCUUCUAUCAAUCUUAGUGGCGAAUGGGUGAGUAACGCGUAAUCAACCCGCCCUUCAGAGGGGGACAACAGUUGGAAACGACUGCUAAUACCGCAUACGAUCUAAUCUCGGCAUCGAGGAUAGAUGAAAGGUGGCCUCUACAUGUAAGCUAUCACUGAAGGAGGGGAUUGCGUCUGAUUAGCUAGUUGGAGGGGUAACGGCCCACCAAGGCGAUGAUCAGUAGCCGGUCUGAGAGGAUGAACGGCCACAUUGGGACUGAGACACGGCCCAGACUCCUACGGGAGGCAGCAGUGGGGAAUCUUCCGCAAUGGACGAAAGUCUGACGGAGCAACGCCGCGUGAGUGAUGACGGCCUUCGGGUUGUAAAGCUCUGUUAAUCGGGACGAAAGGCCUUCUUGCGAAUAGUGAGAAGGAUUGACGGUACCGGAAUAGAAAGCCACGGCUAACUACGUG
rnacentral:rRNA from 1 species